AGGGGCGUCGCACCCGUGGGGGAUGUGGGUGUUUUAACACCCACACUUUUCCUGGUGAGAGGGUUCAACACCCACACUUUUUAUGCAGUUUUGCAAGAACGCCUUAUUAAAGUCGCUCCUCCGUUUCUCUGGCCGCUCUGUGUCUGCUGCGCUGCGCUGCCCUUCUCCCCCCUCCCCUCUCAAACAUGACGCCAGCUUUGAGUAUUACCGGCUGAUGAUUGGCUGUUCUGCCUUAAGUCCCGCCUCUCUUGGUGGGUUAGAUUGAUCGGUCAGCUCCGUCAGCUCGCGCUGAGGAGGCGGGAACUUUGUUUAUUUACAUCUCCAUUUUUCAGUAUAAAUAAGAUACAGAAAAGAAAGAGGCAGGAGAAGAUUGACACCUUUUUCAAGAGAAAUCCUGAGAUGAGGUUGCUGGAGGCAUCAGUUUAAAGAGAGAGAGACAGAGAGGCACAGAAAGUUAAACAGGUGAGCAAUGAAAAAUGAAUUUUACAGUUUGAGAAAGAGGUCUAUGAGAGAAGAGAGGAUGUGUUUGUGUCAUGGGUGGUGCUUAAUUCCAUCCCAGGUGCACAUACGCGUGUUUCUGGUGUGUUUAUAUCAAAUUUAAAAUGUUAUCCAUCCCCCACACUUUUGAAAAGCUUGCUACGCCCCUGAUCACAUCCCUUCACCACUGCGGGCUGUACCAUUGCUGAGUCGGUCGAGUGUCAUAUGCUUGGCUUUUCAGUAAAAAAGCUAAUUAUGCAAUGCACCUGCUGCUUAUCGACGUAAAGUCUCCGUUCACUUCAUUCAAGGAAUGACGUUUAAAUACGCAACCGAGACGUUCUGUAACAUAGGUUCUACAUAUGUUCUGUUUAGCACUAAAAAUGAUUCGUAAUCAUUUUCUAAUCAUUGUAUUUAAAUC